CUUGAGCUUUAUAAGAGGUCCAGCCUGCCCAGUGACUCUGUUCAACGGCCGCGGUAUCCUAACCGUGCGAAGGUAGCGUAAUCACUUGUUCUUUAAAUGCGGACUAGUAUGAAUGGCACUACGAGGGUUAUACUGUCUCCUUUUUCUAAUCAGUGAAACUAAUUUCCCCGUGAAGAAGCGGGGAUAUAACUAUAAGACGAGAAGACCCUAUGGAGCUUUAAACAACCCAGCAAUUACUUCUAAAAUUAUAAAUUUCAGAAUAUCCACUUUUUAAGUUAUAUGUCUGCAAGUUUUUGGUUGGGGUGACCAUGGAGUAUAACAUAACCUCCAUAUUGAAUGAAUUCCCUUCUAAGCUAAAAAUUACCAAUUGAAGCAUCAACAUACUGACAUCUAUUGACCCA
rnacentral:rRNA from 1 species